GGCCGCUCUCCUUCCUCCUCUGGCAUCUCAGACCGUCCCGUGACAGUAAUGGCAGCGGUUAGCUUAAUGCUUACUAUCAAAGCCAAAGACUAAUUACCCAUGUGUGUUCUGGCUCUGGCCGGGGGUGUUGCAUAGCAUUUGGCUGGAACAAGGACUCUGGGUAGCCAGGCAAGCUGUCCUCUGGCUGGGAUUGAGUUACAGCACCUUUUACAAGAGAUCUCUUUACAAAAACCCAACUGGCUGCACAGGUGAUUCAUCAUAUUUAAUAUGUGUAGCCUUGUGGUUAGAGCGUUGGGCCAGUGACCGAAAGGUAGCUAUUUUCAAUCCCAGAGUCAGCAAGGUGAACAUUCUGCCAAUGUGCCCUUGAGCAAGGCACUUAUCCCUAAUUUCUCCAGGGUCACCAUUGAUAAUGGCAGACCCUGGCUGUCACCCCGCUCUCCAAGGGUGUCUUAGGGAGAGUUGGGAUAUGCAAAAAACACAUUUCCAAUUCAUACAUGUGUAUUAAUACACGUGUACAUGUGUGAAACAGGACAAGUAUUUGCACCACCAAAUGAUGUAUUAUUAUAGAAUGAAUCGGAUGGGGCAACAAUGUGGUUUUGACUUGGGGCAAUGUGAAUUUAGCAUCUUAGUUCUGAUGAGUAGGGCUGUGACGGUGACUACUUAGUUUGUUCACUUGUUUACAUGGAUGAAUGUCAGGGUGGCAGGUAGCCUAGUGGUUAGAGCGUUGGGCCAAUAACUGAAAGGUAGCCUAGUGGUUAGAGCGUUGGGCCAAUAACUGAAAGGUAGCCUAGUGGUUAGAGCGUUGGGCCAAUAACUGAAAGGUAGCCUAGUGGUUAGAGCGUUGGGCCAAUAACUGAAAGGUAGCCUAGUGGUUAGAGCGUUGGGCCAAUAACUGAAAGGUAGCCUAGUGGUUAGAGCGUUGGGCCAAUAACUGAAAGGUAGCCUAGUGGUUAGAGCGUUGGGCCAAUAACUGAAAGGUAGCCUAGUGGUUAGAGCGUUGGGCCAAUAACUGAAAGGUAGCCUAGUGGUUAGAGCGUUGGGCCAAUAACUGAAAGGUAGCCUAGUGGUUAGAGCGUUGGGCCAAUAACUGAAAGGUAGCCUAGUGGUUAGAGCGUUGGGCCAAUAACUGAAAGGUAGCCUAGUGGUUAGAGCGUUGGGCCAAUAACUGAAAGGUAGCCUAGUGGUUAGAGCGUUGGGCCAAUAACUGAAAGGUAGCCUAGUGGUUAGAGCGUUGGGCCAAUAACUGAAAGGUAGCCUAGUGGUUAGAGCGUUGGGCCAAUAACUGAAAGGUAGCCUAGUGGUUAGAGCGUUGGGCCAAUAACUGAAAGGUAGCCUAGUGGUUAGAGCGUUGGGCCAAUAACUGAAAGGUAGCCUAGUGGUUAGAGCGUUGGGCCAAUAACUGAAAGGUAGCCUAGUGGUUAGAGCGUUGGGCCAAUAACUGAAAGGUAGCCUAGUGGUUAGAGCGUUGGGCCAAUAACUGAAAGGUAGCCUAGUGGUUAGAGCGUUGGGCCAAUAACUGAAAGGUAGCCUAGUGGUUAGAGCGUUGGGCCAAUAACUGAAAGGUUGCUUGAUUGAAUCCCUGAGCUGACAAGGUAAAAAUCUGUUGUUCUGCCCUUGAACAAGGCAGUUACCAGGCCGUCAUUGUAAAUAAGAAUUUGUUCUUAACUGACUUGCCUAGUUAAAUAAAGGUCAAAUAAAAAAUAUGCUUCUGAAUAAAACCUGUUUGAAACAAGCCAUUACACUUUGUUAUUAUCAUUUUAUUAUGAUUAUUCAGGUUAUUACUUCUAAAUAUUUAAUCAACAAAUUAAGAAAUGCCAGUUUGGAGAGGAUGUGUCGCAUUUUCAUAUUGACAACAUUAACCGAGUCAAAAUAAUGUCCUUGUCUGUCGGCUUAUUAUGUAUGUCAUGUAUUCUUU